AUGAAAUAAUUUUUCAUAUAAGUAAGGGAAAAUUGAUUUUCUUAUUUAAAAAAUUAUUUUGUUUUUACGAUGAAGAAUUUGAUUGAUAGAUUGUUGAAACUGUCUGGAAAAUAUUAUGAUUGUAGACAUUCUGCCAUAUGUAAAAGAAAUAAAAGAGCAGUACAGCACUAAGCAGAAAAGAAUCUUUUAUUUCACAAAAGAAACGUUUUCGACCACUGUCAACUCAUCUACUUCUGCUUUAGUUAUCUGUUACACAGAGACCCGGGAUGUUUCUCCAGGUUGUUUAUUUAUAAAACUGAAAAGGCCAUUUGUUGGUGACAUAUAUCUACA
rnacentral:lncRNA from 1 species